rnacentral:rRNA from 1 species
GUGAGGAAUAUUGGUCAAUGGGCGGGAGCCUGAACCAGCCAAGUCGCGUGAAGGAAGAAGGAUCUAUGGUUCGUAAACUUCUUUUGCAGGGGAAUAAAGUGCAGGACGUGUCCUGUUUUGUAUGUACCCUGAGAAUAAGGAUCGGCUAACUCCGUGCCAGCAGCCGCGGUAAUACGGAGGAUCCGAGCGUUAUCCGGAUUUAUUGGGUUUAAAGGGUGCGUAGGUGGUUUGAUAAGUCAGCGGUGAAAGUUUGCAGCUUAACUGUAAAAAUGCCGUUGAAACUGUCGGACUUGAGUGUAAAUGAGGUAGGCGGAAUGCGUGGUGUAGCGGUGAAAUGCAUAGAUAUCACGCAGAACUCCGAUUGCGAAGGCAGCUUACUAAGCUACAACUGACACUGAAGCACGAAAGCGUGGGGAUCAAACAGGAUUAGAAACCCCUUAGUCC